CAGUUCUUUCCCUUCACUAAUAAGCAGGUUGUAGAUGGGAACAACAUCAAUUUCCAUCAUAUUGGACAGAUGCAGUGGCUGGAAGCUUGUCAGAACUGAAAUGCAAUUGGCAAUUUUUGAAUCAAUUCAAUCUACAACAUUGGGGUGGAAAACACAAACACCUGGUUAAGACACCUAACUUCUCUUCCCCCAUAGCCCAGCUUGAUCAGGAUGUUGACCAGCUGUUUUGGAUGACAGCAGAGCUAUAAGCCCCAUCAUAGACACACAAACAUUCUCUUAUCCAGGCUACAUUGCCAGGACUCACUUUU